rnacentral:rRNA from 1 species
UAACCUGCCUGGUAGCGGGGGAUAACUAUUGGAAACGAUAGCUAAUACCGCAUAAUAGUAGAUGUUGCAUGACAUUUGCUUAAAAGGUGCAAUUGCAUCACUACCAGAUGGACCUGCGUUGUAUUAGCUAGUUGGUGAGGUAACGGCUCACCAAGGCGACGAUACAUAGCCGACCUGAGAGGGUGAUCGGCCACACUGGGACUGAGACACGGCCCAG